AGAUUACAGUGUCAGCCAUACAAUAUUGACAUUGUCGUAUAUAUGGAGCACGUAUAAUACAACGGAAAGAAAAGUUUAAAACAGGCAGUUCUUAUGAGUAUAAUGCUGUUUUUUACCUUCUGGGCAUUUUGUAUUUUAGUUCCCUUAUUAGCAGUUAACAAUACACACAGAGAUUUAAUACUGAAAACGAUGUUUAAUGAUUAUAAUCCUGCCAUUCCACCGAAUUAUAAUGAUGAUGAACCACUGAUAAUUGACAUACAAGUUUAUAUAUUGAGCAUCGAUUCAAUG